AAGUCUGGGUGGUAUAAAGUUAAAGAUAUGGUCCAUGAUUCGUUACAUAUGCACGCAAUUAUUUGAUUAGUUGCUUUAUGCUCAAGCCUGACUUUAUUAAUAUUUUCAUAUUGGGUACCUAAAUUUUAGAAAUUAAAUUGGUGUUCCUUAUUGUUCACAAGCGGAUAACAGUGGUGGUUUUUACUAAAAUCGGAUGAGAAAUAGUGGUUUUGUAAAGCAUCGUAUUAUUUGUACACCCAGUUUUCUUAUUUUGACACCCAGAACCAAUUCUCAAAGUUAGACAAAGCCUGCCAUCUUUAUCACAUCUUAACGCUAAACAAGUCGUGUAGAGCUACUUGACUCGUAUUAGGUACGGGAUAGUACGUUGUCUUUCAACACUGACAGAAAGGUGAUGGAUGUGAUGAUACGGCAACCCUAUACGACUUGUAUAGAGCUAUACAAGUAGCAUAGAAGUCUGGUGAAUGAUUGGUUUUGACAUUCUUUCUCCUUUUUAAACGAAGAAGAAACAUUCGGAUCAUUUCAUUUGAAGAAAACUCUCACAAUUCAAACAAUACAUCUUUUGAAUUUCCAACACAAGCAUGUUAGCGAUGUCUUGGUUCGGCCUCAGGAGGGGUCUGUCAUCCCUGAUUCUUAUGAAGGAGAGUAAAUGAUGAUAACGCGGAGGAGGUCGUGUUCGGCGUUCGUUCUUAUCCUAAGGAACCCUUAUUGCCAAACCUGAUCGAGUUUGCUGUGCCUGACGGUGAAUACGAUUACGGGUAUUUGGGUUACAGACACGGAUAUGAGGCCUCGUACGGACAACAAAACUAUGGCAACAACAAAGACAGUGGUGAGUCGUCUUACGCCCAGGAGUCAUUGGUUGACGAGCAACCCGCUUAUCCGCAAGUUUCUUACGAAACUAAGUAGGUUGUUGUGGAGAAACUUAAAAACAAUGUUAUAGGUGACAAGAUUGAUCCUGUACUAAAUUUGGAUUCUAGUAUGGGAGUUUAAGCCACUUAAUUAUUCUCUAAGUGAGGGUAUUUGGGCCUUUGAGGUUA